rnacentral:rRNA from 1 species
UACGUAGGUGGCAAGCGUUGUCCGGAUUUACUGGGCGUAAAGAGCGCGCAGGCGGUCGUUCAAGUCGCGUGUGAAAGCCCCCGGCUCAACUGGGGAGGGUCACGCGAUACUGAUCGACUCGAAGGCAGGAGAGGGUAGUGGAAUUCCCGGUGUAGUGGUGAAAUGCGUAGAUAUCGGGAGGAACACCAGUGGCGAAGGCGACUACCUGGCCUGGUUUCUU